AGUUCGAUCAUGGCUCAGAUUGAACGCUGGCGGGAUCUUUACAUGCAAGUCGAACGGCAGCACGGACUUCAGUCUGGUGGCGAGUGGCGAACGGGUGGGUAAUGUAUCCGGAACAUUAUAGUAGCGGGGGAUAUACGCGCGAAAGCGUAGCUAAUACCACAUACGCCCUUCGGGGAAAGCAGGGGACCUUCGGGCCUCGCACUAAUGAAACGGCCGAUAUCGGAUUAGCUAGUUGGUGGGGUAACGGCUCACCAAGGCGGCGAUCCGUAGCUGGUUUGAGAGGACGACCAACCACACUGGGACUGAGACACGGCCCAGAUUCCUACGGGAGGCAGCAGUGGGGAAUUUUGGACAAUGGGGGAAACCUGAUCCAGCCAUCCCGCGUGCGAUGAAGGCCUUCAGGUUGUCGCUUGGCAGGAAAGAAACGGCACGGGAUAUUACCCCGUGCAACUGACUGUUACCUGCAGAAUAAGCACCGGCUAACUACGUGCCAGCAGCCGCGGUAAUACGUAGGGUGCAAGCGUUAAUCGGAAUUACUGGGCGUAAAGCGUGCGCAGGCGGUUCGGAAGAAAGAUGUGAAAUCCCAGAGCUUAACUUUGGAACUGCAUUUUUAACUACCGAGCUAGAGUGUGUCAGAGGAGUGGAAUUCCGCGAUGUAGCAGUGAAAUGCGUAGAUAUGCGGAGAACACCGAUGGCGAAGAAGGCAGCCUCCUGGGAUAACACUGACGCUCAUGCGCGAAAGCGUGGGGAGCAAACAGGAUUAGAUACCCUGGUAGUCCACGCCCUAAACGAUGUCAACUGGCUAUUUGGGGCCUUCGGGCCUUGGUAGCGCAGCUAACGCGUGAAGUUGACCGCCUGGGGAGUACGGUCGCAAGAUUAAAACUCAAAGGAAUUGACGGGGACCGCACAAGCGGUGGAUGAUGUGGAUUAAUUCGAUGCAACGCGAAAAGCCUUACCUACCCUUGACAUGUCUGGAAUCCCGAAGAGAUUUGGGAGUGCUCGCAAGAGAACCGGAACACAGGUGCUGCAUGGCUGUCGUCCGGCUCGUGUCGUGAGAUGUUGGGUUAAGUCCCGCAACGGAAGCAGCCUUGUCAUUGGUUGCUACGAAAGGGCACUCUAGUAAGGACGCAUUGACAAACCGGAGGAAGGUGGGGAUGACGUCAAGUCCACUCAUAGCCCUUAUGGGUAGGGCUUCACGUCAUACAAUGGUCGGGACAGAAGGGUCGCCCAGCCCGCGAGGGGGAACCAAUCCCAGAAACCCGAUCGUAGUCCGGAUCGCAGUCUGCAACUCGACUGCGUGAAGUCGGAAUCGCUAGUAAUCGCGGAUCAGCAUGUCGCGGUGAAUACGUUCCCGGGUCUUGUACACACCGCCCGUCACACCAUGGGAGUGGGUUUUACCAGAAGUAGUUAGCCUAACCGUAAGGAGGGCGAUUACCACGGUAGGAUUCAUGACUGGGGUGAAGUCGUAACAAGGUAA
rnacentral:rRNA from 1 species